rnacentral:sRNA from 1 species
UGACCGCCCUCCUCCCGGAGGCGCCAAGGCCAUACGGACAGCCGGGUCAAAUGCCGA